AGAGCGCGAGCCUGAGCCACACCAGAGGCGGGGAAGAUGACAACAAUCCCGUCCCCUUUAGUCCGAAAGAUUGUGGGUAAAGUAAAGCAUUCCAUUCCAAACACUGUCAAAGCCACACCGGAGGCUGUCAACAGCUUACUUCCACACACUUCAGCGUCUCUCCGUCUUACACGAUGAUCCCUGACAACCCAGAUAUCGGACACACAGUUGGUUUUUAUUUCAUUUUUCUGUCGUUCGUUCCUGUCAACAUUGUCACCGGCAGCACAAGACCAGGCUCCCAGAACCAGGAUUCAGAGGAAGUCCUCUAUGACAGCCAGCUAGACCUGCAAGAGAUAGUGUUUGUGAUCCAGAGCCAGAGUAACUCAUUCCACAUGAGUUGGGCGGAAAGACAGAGAGCAGACCUGUUACAACAGACUCAGAGCCUCACACAGACACCCCCUCCAGUCCUGCUCCUCCACAGUUUGACAGACAAUGAGGGAGACUGGAGCAUCCUUCCUCUGCUGCCUUACUUCUCCUCGUUGUUUGGGAAGAACUCGUCCUGGUUAGUGUUUCUGGAAGAGGAGACUAACGUCAAGGUGACCAAGCUGCUCCAGGCCCUCAGGAAGUUUGACAGGAGAAAAGAGUGGUUCCUGGGUAAACCUCUCCAUGACGAGGAGUCGACCAUCAUCCACCACUACGCCUUUGCAGAGAACCCCUCCAUCUUUAAAUACCCAGACUUCUCUGCUGCCUGGGCCCUUAGCAUCCCCCUGCUUGACAGGUCAGAUCCUAAUCUAUAUCUAACUUCCUUUAACUUUUGUUGUCUCCAUCUACCUUUCUUUAUAGUGGCUCUGUAUAUCUGGGAGAAUGGCCAAGGGCCUCGUCUGACGGCAGUCCCAGAGCUGUGUACUGAGCCAGAACACUCUCCCACUGCCCAACACUGUGCUACCACGCUCAGGAGACCUGCUCCCAUGUGUGGGGAGCCUGUAAAGAAGGAAGACAUCUUUGUUGCUGUGAAAACUUGCAAGAAGUUUCACAGUGAGAGAGUCCCAGUGGUGAAGAAGACGUGGGAGAGAGAGGCAUCUCUGUUGGAGUAUUACAGUGACCACACUGACCCCUCCAUACCUACCAUCGACCUAGGAGUCCCCAACACAGAGAGAGGUCAUUGUGGGAAGACGUUUGCCAUCUUGGAGAGGUAUAUCAGCGAUGCGGUGCCAAAGACGAGCUGGCUGCUGGUGGUGGAUGAUGACACACUCAUCAGCCUACCCAGACUGCACAUGCUGUUGAGCUGUUACGACCCCUCUGAACCGGUGUGUCUAGGGGAGAGGUACGGCUACGGGCUGGGCCAGGGAGGCUACAGCUACAUCACCGGAGGAGGGGGGAUGGUGUUCAGUAGGGCCGCGGUGGUGAGGCUCCUGGCCAGUGACUGCAAGUGUUACAGUAAUGACGCCCCUGAUGACAUGGUGCUGGGGAUGUGUCUCAACGCUCUGGGGCUCCCUGUCACACAUAGCUCCCUCUUCCACCAGGCACGACCUGAAGACUACUCCAGAGACUUCCUAGCCCACCAGGUGCCCAUCUCUUUCCACAAACACUGGAACAUCGACCCCGUCGCCGUCUUCAACAGGUGGCUAAAGGAUGAGUCGAUGUCAACAAGCCCACACGGACUAAACAAGAGCACCAAGGAAGAGUUAUAG
ensembl:lncRNA beta 3-glucosyltransferase